rnacentral:rRNA from 1 species
GAGUUUGAUCCUGGCUCAGAACGAACGCUGGCGGCAGGCCUAACACAUGCAAGUCGAGCGCUACCUUCGGGUGGAGCGGCGGACGGGUUAGUAACGCGUGGGAAUAUACCCUUCUCUACGGAAUAGCCUCGGGAAACUGAGAGUAAUACCGUAUACGCCCUUCGGGGGAAAGAUUUAUCGGAGAAGGAUUAGCCCGCGUAAGAUUAGAUAGUUGGUGGGGUAAUGGCCUACCAAGUCUACGAUCUUUAGCUGGUUUUAGAGGAUGAUCAGCAACACUGGGACUGAGACACGGCCCAGACUCCUACGGGAGGCAGCAGUGGGGAAUCUUAGACAAUGGGCGAAAGCCUGAUCUAGCCAUGCCGCGUGAGUGAUGAAGGCCUUAGGGUCGUAAAGCUCUUUCGCCAGGGAUGAUAAUGACAGUACCUGGUAAAGAAGCCCCGGCUAAUUCCGUGCCAGCAGCCGCGGUAAUAAGGGCGA